rnacentral:rRNA from 1 species
UACGGAGGGUGCAAGCGUUAAUCGGAAUUACUGGGCGUAAAGGGUGCGUAGGCGGUUGUUUAAGUCUGUUGUGAAAUCCCCGGGCUCAACCUGGGAAUGGCAAUGGAUACUGGGCAGCUAGAGUGUGUCAGAGGAUGGUGGAAUUCCCGGUGUAGCGGUGAAAUGCGUAGAGAUCGUAAGGAAGGCCGGUGGCGAAGGCGAGUUCCUGGACAGUGACUGACGCUGAGGCACGAAGGCCAGGGGAGCAAACGGG